rnacentral:misc_RNA from 1 species
AACGCACGAGACCUGCGGACCUGCGGAAGGAUCAUUAGCGAAUCUGUGGCCUCAAAGGCUCACUUUCCCUAUCCUUCACACACCUGUGCACCCUUCUGAAGCGGAGAGUUAUUAGGCAGCGCCUGCUGCCGAGCGCCUCCCUUCGGUCACCACAUCAACUUCAAACCACGUUUACUAGAAUGUAUACCGUCUUGUUGUAACGACAAGUACAAUCCAAUAAAACUUUCAACAAUGGAUCUC